UAUCGUAAUAUUUUAGUAAUAUAUUUCGUACAUUUUCCCGUUUUCUUUUUUCGGUUUUUUAAAUUUUAUCUUGAGAAUCUCUUGAGAAAAUCGAAAAAUUUACCUCUUUUAAGUACCGCCCUACGCCGAUUACCUUUCAUAAAAGGUGCUACACGUAGAAACGUGGAAAUCCGAACUAGUCUUCUGGUAGUAAAGUUGCGCACAGAUAAAUAAAUAAAUAAAUAAAUAAACAUCUUUCUGAAACUAUAAGUUUCUUCGCUUCACCCAGAAUCUAAAAUAAUUUUUUAUUUUAUUAUUUUUGGAAAAUGUUAUGAUAGCCAUUCUAUAGAGUUAUUUUUUCGGAAAAUUUGAAUGUAUCACACUUUUACAUCCGGUGAAUAGUUUCUAAUUAAUAGCCGCUUUAAAUUCUACUAAUUCGUGUAAAAACCUAUGUUUUCGCGUAAUACGGUAAGGUUUAGACAACAUCGGUUUUCGCA